rnacentral:rRNA from 1 species
GACGAACGCUGGCGGCGCGCCUAACACAUGCAAGUCGAACGGAGCUGAGAGAAGCUUGCUUUUCUUAGCUUAGUGGCGAACGGGUGAGUAACGCGUGAGUAACCUGCCCUGGAGUGGGGGACAACAGUUGGAAACGACUGCUAAUACCGCAUAAGCCCACGAUCCGGCAUCGGAUUGAGGGAAAAGGAUUUAUUCGCUUCAGGAUGGACUCGCGUCCAAUUAGCUAGUUGGUGAGGUAACGGCCCACCAAGGCGACGAUUGGUAGCCGGACUGAGAGGUUGAACGGCCACAUUGGGACUGAGACACGGCCCAGACUCCUACGGGAGGCAGCAGUGGGGGAUAUUGCACAAUGGGGGAAACCCUGAUGCAGCGACGCCGCGUGGAGGAAGAAGGUUUUCGGAUUGUAAACUCCUGUCGUUAGGGACGAUAAUGACGGUACCUAACAAGAAAGCACCGGCUAACUACGCG